AUUGAACGCUGGCGGCAUGCUUUACACAUGCAAGUCGAACGGUAACAGGCCGCAAGGUCCUGACGAGUGGCGAACGGGUGAGUAAUGCAUCGGAACGUGCCCAGUCGUGGGGGAUAACGCAGCGAAAGCUGCGCUAAUACCGCAUACGAUCUAUGGAUGAAAGCGGGGGACCUGUAAGGGCCUCGCGCGAUUGGAGCGGCCGAUGUCAGAUUAGGUAGUUGGUGGGGUAAAGGCUCACCAAGCCGACGAUCUGUAGCUGGUCUGAGCGGACGACCAGCCACACUGGGACUGAGACACGGCCCAGACUCCUACGGGAGGCAGCAGUGGGGAAUUUUGGACAAUGGGCGCAAGCCUGAUCCAGCAAUGCCGCGUGCAGGAAGAAGGCCUUCGGGUUGUAAACUGCUUUUGUACGGAACGAAACGGCUCUGGUUAAUACCUGGGGCUAAUGACGGUACCGUAAGAAUAAGCACCGGCUAACUACGUACCAGCAGCCGCGGUAACAC
rnacentral:rRNA from 1 species